AUUGAACGCUGGCGGCAGGCUUAGCACAUGCAAGUCGAGCGGGGACUUCGGUCCUAGCGGCGAACGGGUGAGGAAUGCUUGGGAAUCUGCCCAGUAGCGGGGGAUAACGUUUCGAAAGGAACGCUAAUACCGCAUACGCCCUACGGGGGAAAGGGGGGGAUCUUCGGACCUCUCACUAUUGGAUGAGCCCAAGUCGGAUUAGCUAGUUGGUGGGGUAAAGGCCUACCAAGGCGACGAUCCGUAGCUGGUCUGAGAGGAUGAUCAGCCACACUGGAACUGAGACACGGUCCAGACUCCUACGGGAGGCAGCAGUGGGGAAUAUUGGACAAUGGGCGAAAGCCUGAUCCAGCCAUGCCGCGUGUGUGGAGAAGGCCUUCGGGUUGUAAAGCACUUUAAGCGAGGAGGAAUGGCUCUUGGUUAAUAACCUUGAGCAGUGACGUUACUCGCAGAAUAAGCACCGGCUAACUCUGUGCCAGCAGCCGCCGUAAGAC
rnacentral:rRNA from 1 species